rnacentral:rRNA from 1 species
GGAUGUUCAUAACCCUUUGUUGUCCGACUCUGUUGCCUCCGGGGCGACCCUGCCUUCGGGCGGGGGCUCCGGGUGGACACUUCAAACUCUUGCGUAACUUUGCAGUCUGAGUAAACUUAAUUAAUAAAUUAAAACUUUUAACAACGGAUCUCUUGGUUCUGGCAUCGAUGAAGAACGCAGCGAAAUGCGAUAAGUAAUGUGAAUUGCAGAAUUCAGUGAAUCAUCGAAUCUUUGAACGCACAUUGCGCCCCCUGGUAUUCCGGGGGGCAUGCCUGUUCGAGCGUCAUUUCACCACUCAAGCCUCGCUUGGUAUUGGGCAACGCGGUCCGCCGCGUGCCUCAAAUCGACCGGCUGGGUCUUCUGUCCCCUAAGCGUUGUGGAAACUAUUCGCUAAAGGGUGUUCGGGAGGCUACGCCGUAAAACAACCCCAUUUCUAAGGUUGACCUCGGAUCAGGUAGGGAUACCCGCUGAACUUAAGCAUAUCAU